CCUUAGUACGAGAGGACCGGGAUGGACAUACCUCUGGUGUACCAGUUGUUCUGCCAAGAGCACCGCUGGGUAGCUACGUAUGGAUUAGAUAAUCGCUGAAAGCAUCUAAGUGAGAAACUAACCUCGAGAUGAGAUUUCCCAUUCGUCAGAAGUAAGACCCCUGAGAGACGAUCAGGUAGAUAGGCUAGAAGUGGAAGUGUAGUGAUGCAUGGAGCGGACUAGUACUAAUAGGUCGAGGACUUAACCAAG
rnacentral:rRNA from 1 species